CCCGCUGAACUUAAGCAUAUCAAUAAGCGGAGGAAAAGAAACUAACUAGGAUUCCCCCAGUAACGGCGAGUGAAGAGGGACUAGCCCAACUUUGUAAUCGGUUGCCUUUGGUAUCCGAGUUGUAGUCUAGAGACGUAGGACCCGGUCAUUGUCGGCCGUCGAGAUGGCUCGGAUGCCGUGUCAGAGAGGGUGCCAACCCCGUACGACGGUCUUGCACUUUGGCCACCGCGGUCCGCGCUCCAAGAGUCGAGUUGUUUGGGAAUGCAGCUCCAAUCGGGUGGUAAAUUCCAUCUAAGGCUAAAUAACGGCGAGAGACCGAUAGCGAACAAGUACCGUGAGGGAAAGAUGAAAAGCACUUUGGAAAGAGAAUGAAACAGUAUGUGAAAUUGCUGGAAGGGAAACGCUUGAAGUCAGCUUUGCGCGGAACGGUUCAACCCGGUCUUUCUGAUCGGGCUUACUUCGUUCCAUUGCGGGCCAGCAUCGGUUUGAGGACCGUCAACAGGGCGAGAGGAAGGUAGCCUUGAUUCGUCGAGGUGUUAUAGCCUCUCGCUGGACGGCGGACUUGAGAUCGAGGAACUUUGCAGUGCGCCGUUUCGGCGGCCCCGGUCGCGGCCGGGUACGCACUCAGGAUGCUGGUGGAAUGGCUUUAAACGACCCGUCUUGAAACACGG
rnacentral:rRNA from 1 species